AACAAACGCUGGCGGCGUGCCUAACACAUGCAAGUCGUACGAGAAAGUCGGCUUCGGCCGAUGAGUACAGUGGCGCACGGGUGAGUAGCGCGUGGGUAAUCUGCCCCCCGGUCAGGAAUAACCCGCCGAAAGGCGGGCUAAUACCCGAUAACACUGACGCUCCGCGGAGCGUCUUUCAAAGAAGGCCUCUGUUUACAAGCUUUCGCCGGAGGAUGAGCCCGCGUACCAUUAGCUAGUUGGCAGGGUAAUGGCCUACCAAGGCUACGAUGGUUAGCUGGUCUGAGAGGAUGGCCAGCCACACUGGAACUGAGACACGGUCCAGACUCCUACGGGAGGCAGCAGUGAGGAAUAUUGGUCAAUGGACGCAAGUCUGAACCAGCCAUGCCGCGUGCAGGAAGAAGCAUCUAUGGUGUGUAAACUGCUUUUAUACAGGAAGAAACAUCCCGACGUGUCGGGACUUGACGGUACUGUAAGAAUAAGGACCGGCUAACUCCGUG
rnacentral:rRNA from 1 species